rnacentral:rRNA from 1 species
UACGUAGGUGGCAAGCGUUGUCCGGAUUUAUUGGGUUUAAAGGGUGCGUAGGCGGCUUGAUAAGUCAGUGGUGAAAGCCGAUCGCUUAACGAUCGAACUGCCAUUGAUACUACCAGGCUUGAGUAUAGAUGAGGUAGGCGGAAUUGACAGUGUAGCGGUGAAAUGCAUAGAUAUUGUCAAGAACACCAAUUGCGAAGGCAGCUUACUAAGUUAUAACUGACGCUGAGGCACGAAGGCCAGGGGAGCAAACGGG